GUUGCUCUGCUGCAUCGGCCGUUGUCGGGGCCCCGUAUCACAAUCACACUGGGUGGUUGAAUUGGAAUUGGUGACUGAAUUGGGCCAUUUUGCGGCGGUGGUGAUCGCCGGAGGUAAACCGGGGAAGAAGGCGGCAGCGUUGGAGAUGGGCUUGAAGUUGGCGGCUGUGAUGGAGCGUCAACUACCGUAGGUGGAAGCGACGGAACCGGUGUAUCAUAUGAUGGCUGAGGCGACGGAGAUGGUGGUUGGACGGGAGAAGCAGCCGCCGGAGGGGUGUACUCCGGCGGCGAAGGCCGCGGCCGUGAGCCGAAGAAUGUGAGGUUGGGGAAAAUCCAAAAGAAGGCAGAUUGGCAAGUAAUAGGUGAAAAUUUGACAUAUUGCAUCGUCGGUUCAUAUGCCCUCUCUCUCUUGCCUCAAAUACACGCCACAUAUACACUGUUUAUUUACUAAACUUACAAAAUUUCAAAACAUUUCACAACAUCACUCUUCCCUCACCCGCCUAAACACUCUACACUCCUCGGUGUAAACCAUCUCUUGUAUGCAAAGCGGAAGCGCACUAGAUUCUCAUGCGCGUCCACUUCGCAGAAUUCUUCUCGUCGUAAAGAGGAACCCUCACCACCGCCACCGCCCCCACCACCGCGCACUAGAUAUCCUCAGUUUGUGAUUUAUGGCUCCGAAAUUGAUUUUUUUAGGAAUUUGUCUUGGUUGUUUUGGUUUGAUUUUUGUUUGUCCGAUAUUUUUUUUCCUUCACAGAGGAAGAUUCUCGAAAGUUUUCCAUUGCUUUCCAUCAUGGUGGUUGUGAGUUCUAUUUUUUUGAUCCGAAAUACAGUAAUGACUGCGAGAGGGUUUAAUAGGCGGCCCUAUGAUGCCCAUUAUUGAGGAGCCACGUCUAAAGGAUUUCCUCAAAAUGGCGGCUACUUCCACAAAGCUGGUUCACAUGUACGUUGUGGAGAUAACCCGAGUGGCUAUUUUACUGAAAAAAAUGAAAGAUCAAGCGGAAGAGCUUCUCAGAUUCAGGGCGUCGAAACCUGCAGGAGUCAUUAUUGAAGAGAUUGAAGAAACCGAACGCGUCAACUGAAAAGGAAGAGGAGGCAGGAGGAUGAGUUGCAAGGGCACCGGAGGUUUGUAUAUUGCCUAUAUAGAUGAAAAGGUUUGCGAUUUGGGAACGACUAAUGUAGCUGUAACACAUGGUUCUGUAGUAAUCAAGACCAUUAUCUGAGGUGAGGCAUAGGAAUGUGGUCAGACUAGUUGUUUACAAUAUGGAUGGGCGUCAGCAGGUCUGGGCGUAUGAUUUUGCUCCACGAGGGUCCCUACACGACAUUCUUCAUAAACAGCAAGGCAUAGGCUCAAGCUCAAACCCAUAUCCGGCUUUAACAAAGAAUCCAAAUCGCUCUUGGAGUCGAGUCGCAAGGGGAUUAUGCUACAUUCAUCACCAUGACGAGGAAUUGAUCCAUCAUAACAUCAGAUCCAACAAUAUUAUGAUGACACUGCUAUGAUAAUUGAUCCUUUUCUAUGGACUCAAUGCCAAUUUUGUGAGGCAAUAUAAUUGAAAGAGUGUCAUCCUAGUCAGUCUACUGAUUGCUCACACACAAUCAGGAAUGUGAUGGUUACAACUUUGGUGAGAUUCUCCUUGACAGGUAAUAAAAUGCUAGUUGAUAACACAGGACAAGCAAGGCAGCGUCACUUGUGUCAAGGGCAGGCAUUACGACAGCUGGACUCAGACGUGGUACACAAGAUUGUGGAUGCUAGAUUAAAACAUGGCUAAAGUUGCACAAUUGUGCCUUGGAGAAUAUUCUCGCAAUUGUGCCUUUGCUAACCAAAUCGCACUCUCAGAGCUGAACCAACUGAGAUUGUUUCUUAUUGUGCAUGAAAGCAAGAGAUCUGAAGAAAGAUGCCACGCCACCCGAAAUGAAAGAAAUUACUUGAUGCUUUUGUAUUGCAUUUCCACUUUGUCCUGCUUUUGGGGGAAAGUUUGGAUCUUUAUUUCAUAAUUUCGCAACUAAGUUGUGGUUCAUCAUCGUUGUAUGCGGCUUUAUUUCUCCAAUGUUGCUUGUGAAGAUGGAAUCCACGAGCUCGACGCUGCUUGACAAGAUUACUCAAUCUCGUGUGCAUGGAUCAUGAAGUAGCUGUUGCUCGAUCAUAGCCGUUGGAGUCUUAGUUAGUCUUAGUUGUAAGUUGGUUGUAACUGCAAUGUAGUAGUAAAUGAGCUGUUGAGAGCGGUUGUAAGUAGUCUAGCUCAGCUACAAAUACUCUGCUUCUACAACAAGAAGAGAGAUCAAUU